AAAGGCGAUGAAGAGUGUGAGUCGCAAGGCCCUCGGGGUCUCCUCUGCUCUCGGCUCGAUCUUGUCUCUCCGCUCCUCAGAGCUUUGGCAUGAAAAGCAUCCUCUGGGGACAGAGAGGAAAAGGUCAGAUCUCCAGGUCAAUAAAGCGAUCCUUUAUAUUCUGUUACACCACACUGAAUUCUGGAUCCCAAUUGGUCAGCGGAUCAGACGGCUCACAGGUUUGGAUGGACGUUGUUGUUGUUUUUUUUUUUGUUUUUUUUUACGUUAACGUUUCCAUAGUAACAGUUUACACAGGAUGUAAUCAAUGAUAUGGUUUGGAUUUAUGGUUAACAUUUAAGGAAGGAGUCUCCAGUGUCAGAGGAGACGGAGGAGGAGGUCAGGGUUUCUCAUUUGAAGCUAUAAAUGGAUAAAAAGUUGUUAUAUAAGAGAAAUAAACACGAAAGAGAACCUGAACACAGAGGUGGGAACGCUUCAUCACACCAUCCUGUCGGAGAUUAGUUUCCGAUAUCAGCACCGCACUAAGUGUUGGAAUCUUCUCAAGUUUUACUUUUAGCUAAUUUAAUUGUUUCUCUUUUUCUGAAAACAAAACAAGCAGGAGACUUUUCGCCGUCUUCUUCAUUUCCAGGAGCGGUCACUCAAUCGGCAUCUUAUAUACAGCAGAGACGAGGAGACGCAUGAUCAUGUAACAGCGUUUAACGGCCAAACCGGUCAUUUCAUCACCAGGAAGCGGUCACUUUUAUCCCUUUUCCCAACACACACUCAGUUCCACUGAUGAGAAAACACGUCCAGGAUCCUUAACGUGGAAUUAAUCGCUUGGCCGCUGCACACAGGGAAAAAAUCCUCGCCCUGGCCGAGUCCGGAGAAGAGAACAUGAAAGAGUUGGACGGAAGGAGUCUCCAGUGUCAGAAGUCUUCACGACAGAGGAGACGGCGAUGAAAGUGACAGCCACGGACGCGUCGUUGAUGAUUUUCCCUUCACCAGCACAGCGAGCCUAUAGCCAGGCGUGGAAGCAGGUCCUCUCCGGAGCGCCGGUGCGGGGUAGAGGGACGGACGAACCGGGUGACACACACUGCUCAGGAAACAAGGCCAAGGCAAUAACUCAGUGUGGGAGGAGUGUCAGCAAGAAAAGUGCGCCGAGGUAAAACAGAAAGAGAACUUUAAAAUGCCUCUGAUUGCAGUGAGAAUAAUAAGAAAUGACCUUUUUUUUAAUUUAAAGUGUGUGCCACUGAAAAGCAACAAAUUACGUGAUAAAUAAAAGAAGGAAUCCUCACGGUACAGGAGAGUAUGAAUCGAUUCCUCCGACAACGAUUCGAUGAUAAUGUGACGAUGUUUGAGCAAAACAUUUAAAUCUGCUUCGAAAUAAUACAAUAAGAUUUUCACUCAUAAGGUAAUGAUAUUCAGGAUAAUUAUAGCAUCUGCUAGGAUUGAAUAGAGUUUUGAUUCCUAAGAAUCCUAGGAUAUAUACGAUUUUGAUUUAUAAGAGAUGAUUUUUGACGAUAACGUUGAAUCUGCUACGAUAUACACUGAUCAGCCAUAACAUUAUGACCACCUGCCUAAUAUUGUGUUGGUCCCCCUUUUGACCCAGCGAGGCAUGGACUCCACUAGAUACCCUGCUGUGGUAUCUAACACCGAGAUGUUAGCAGCAGAUCCUUUAAGUCCUGUAAGUUGCGAGGUGGAGCCUCCAUGGAUCGGACUUGUUUGUCCAGCACAUCCCACAGAUGCUGGAUUGGUUUGAGAUCUGGGGAAUUUGGAGGCCAGGUCAACACCUCAAACUGGUUGUUGUGGUCAUCAAACCAUUCCUGAUACAUUUCUGCUCUGUGGGAUGGCGCUGAAAGAGGCCACAGCCAUCAGGGAAUACCGUUUCCAUGAAAGGGUGUACAUGGUCUGCAACAAUGCUUAGGUAGGUGGUACGUCUCAAAGAAACAUCGCUCCGCAUGUGCAAAUCCUUACACUUGUCCAUUUUUCCUGCUUCUAACACAUCAACUUUGAGGACAAAAUGUUGACUUGCUGCCUAAUAUAUCCCACCCACUAACAGGUGCCAUGAUGAGGAGGUCAUCAGUCUUAUUCACUUCACCUCUCAGUGGUCAUAAUGUUAUACCUGAUCGGUGUAAAUAUAUGAUUUAAAUUCAUAAAGCUAAGUCAAUAUUUGAUAAGAUCGAAUCUGCUAUGAAAUAUUGCAAAACGAUUUCCAUUCAUGAGGCCACGAUAUCUGACAAGUCUGCUACGAUACAAUACGAUACCAUUUCAAUUCACAUGGCCACGAUUAUUGCCUUCAGAUCUGCUACAAUUGGUCCUGAAAAGGAAACGGAGACUUUAUAAGCAUUUUAACUUCAGCUCUGAACAAAGAACGCAGGUUAUAUUUAAUGUGGUUUUCUGUAAGAAGACGUGUUUUUAACAUCUUGCGAAGCCUUCCAUGGUCAGAACUGAAGCUGUAACUUUACUACUGACUGAUGAAUUAACAUUAUCGCUCGGUUGAAUUUUAGCUAACCCUACGUCGUCGUCUUAUUGGUGGUUCAGAGACGGACUUCAUGGCAGCAGCACUCGCAGUCGGAGACUUAU